rnacentral:tRNA from 1 species
GGAGAGUUGCCCGAGCGGCCCAAGGGAACGGUCUUGAAAACCGCAGUGGCGGCAACGUCACCGUGGGUUCGAAUCCCACAGUCUCCG